UUUAUUUUAUUUUAUUUUAUUCUGGUACAGCUGGACUCCACUUACAACAAAAAGGUCGUAGGAGUGGAGGCCGCAGCUUUGAAGGUUCGUCAGAGAGGCUACAGGAGGUUCCAUUUGAGUCUCGUUUCUCUGCUGCAGUUCUGCAACAGAGCAGAGAGAAGACAGAACCGUGGAGCACCGGUCCAAGCACUGAGGCCUCCUUUUUUUUUUUGAGUCUCCUGCUUUAAUCAGCUCCACCCUCUGCUGUUCAUUUCUCACAUCUUCCAGUUGCUCCUCAACCAAUCUUCACACUUCCCUUCUCCUUCCCUCUUGGAGUCGAGUCUUGGAUCGAUGCAUCAUUGAUUUUCCUAUCAAUGAACAUUAGUUUGGAUCAGACCUCUGUUUGCUACGUCCUGCCCUAAAAGCUACACGCAGAAACUCAAAUCUGCACUGAUAGAGCUACCAGGGAAAGAAAAAAAAAAAAAAAGAAAUAAGGCACAGGAGCCAGUCAAUGAGGGGCA